AACAAGUUUGAUGUUCCCGGAGAGGCCAAUGCCGAGAUGGACGCCAGGACUCUACUGCUUAACACCAAGCGGCUGAUCGUGGAUGUGAUCCGGUUCCAACCUGGAGAAACACUCACUGAGAUUCUGGAGGGUGCUGCCAAUCCUGAACAGGAAGUGGAGUACCAGCGUGCUUUUGUG